CUAGCCUGGAGGUGGUGGAUGUGGGAGUGAGAGGAACUCCUGGAAGCUGGGAAGGAACCUCAGACAGUAGUGACCCUUGCUGUAACCCUGGAUUGUUAGAAGUAGCUUGCAAUAAGGUACUAUCCAAACUGAAAAGGCUGCUGUCUAUAGAGAGAGAAAAGAUAAUUUAAUAGCUGUCCUCAAACCUAACUUCGCUGGAUUGUUUGUUAUCCUUGUUCUGCUAAACUCUCACCUCUGCUAAGUGCAAAAAGCAAACCAAUGUGAUCUACGUGAGUGAAGUUGGGAAUGACAGUACAGAGGGACCAUUCUAUUGAUGAUGGGGAAUAAGAGACAAUUAUACAAUCCUACCGAUCCACCAACACAGUGGUAUUCUGGGACCAUAACCUUAGGUAAAACAGUUGCUAACAUGCCCAGUCUGAUCUGUGGGACUCAUUUUCAGUGCUUUGUAUCUAAAUUGGUACUUAGGGGCUGAUUGCAGUGCUUAUUACCAUUAUUGCGCUGUUCCUGGUGACUCUAGC